CCCUUAGAUGUUCUGGGCUGCACGCGCGCUACACUGAAGCGUUCAACGAGUAUUCACCUUGCCCGGGAGGGUUGGGUAAUCUUUUGAAAACGCUUCGUGAUGGGGAUAGAUUAUUGCAAUUAUUAAUCUUCAACGAGGAAUUCCUAGUAAGCGCGAGUCAUCAGCUCGCGUUGAUUACGUCCCUGCCCUUUGUACACACCGCCCGUCGCUCCUACCGAUUGAAUGGUCCGGUGAAAUGUUCGGACCGCGACAAGGCGGACGGUUCGCUGUCAGCUUUGCUGCGGGAAGUUCAUUAAACCUUAUCAUUUAGAGGAAGGAGAAGUCGUAACA
rnacentral:rRNA from 1 species